AGAUGGCUCCAGCAACAAGGAGGAGGAAAAGGAAAACACAUAAUCUCUAAAUGUCACAGAAUAAAAGCCAGCUAAACAAACCAAACAAGAUGCUGACAAUUGACACUACCCUGCGGCAGGAAGCUAAACUCCUACCUUUGCAUGUCCAGUGACUACAUUUUGACUCCCAUACUCUCUGAAUAGUAUGCAUCUCUUGCAUGAAGAACAAGACUGCUUAGUUCAGAAUAAGAAAAAACAAUGAGGGUGGAUUUGGAAAUACUGAAAUACCACCAGAAAGGCAGCAAAUGCAAUAAUUCCUGCAGUAUUCAAAGAAAAAAAGAUAGAACUUUCCAG